CAUCGGUUGACCGUUUCCGCGCAUUUCCGGCACAAAAAAAGGGACGCGUUGUCGGCGGGGAAAUCAAGGGAUCUUGGUCUGCUUCUUGGUUAUUUUAUUCGCUGCUCCGAUCUAACGGAAGCGAGAGUCUUCGCUGCUGUUGCGGAUAAAGCUGCGGCCCGUCGUCGCGGUCGAAACCUUGACGAAAGAGGGAGCGUAUCACCGUGUUAAUUUCCGAGGUCCCUUUGAGGGUACGAACGAAGGUAUUUUUAUCUCCGAAACACAUUUCAGCCUCGAAACGUGCGAAGCUUAUUUUUUUUUACCUUCAUUCGUACCUUCGUACAUAUAUAUACCAUGAGGGUAUUUUACUAUUCCAUGCAGCUAUUCUGCAAGGAUAUAUUAUUAAUAUUGAAGAUAAUUAGCACUAACAUGGAUACGUAUAUUUUUUGUUUGAUAAAAUUAAUGAACAACUAACACAUACAGGGACCUUCGGAGGUACCUUCGAAGGUAACAAUUAUGCUGGUAAUCACAAAUAUAUUCGAGUAAAUAAAAUUAGUCUAUUCAUAAAAUUCAAUAAACCGGCGCAUGAUAUAUUAUUUCCAUGCAUGGCUGUGAUAGUAUGCAUGAAUUCGUAUUGUCCAUCACCUCGCAUGCAUAUACACAUUUCGUCCACUACUCAAUUAUUUAUCCGUACGUGGAGACGAAGGACGAAGAGACAAUGACGACAAACGACCAAUCCGGACACUCUCGUCGUGCCGUCAAAAAAUGCCUGGUACGUUCGUUAGUUGCUGAGUUAAUAAACAGAACAUUCUCCCUAUUGUUGACUUUCGGUCGGCAGUGGAGUUGCCAUACGAUCAUCGGUCGGUUGCAAACAAAGUCUUAUGAAACCGGAGAGGCCGCAGACAACAUACAGGUUUCCCCAGCCAGACUACACUUAUUAUAAUCAGUGCACGUGGUGGGUGGGUAAGUGGUCGGUAUAUAUGCUCCUUAAGAACAGAAAGCCUGCACAGCCCAAAACCGUAUAUGUAAGAGGUUGGCGAACUGGAGGCUGGAGAAAAAUCCGGGAUCCGACCGAGAAAUUACCCCAGAAUUUACGACCGACCGCCCUACCUCACACACACUCACACAUCUAACACAACGUAUACUAAUACAUGUAUGGUCACAGUAACUAUAUAUUUAGUGUAAGCGUUUUACAGAUAACGUUUCCAUGCAUAUAUAAAUACUCAUAUAAUCAUGACUUAAUCAUGUAGACCAGACUCCCUAUAUCGUUGACUUUCGGUCGGCAAGGAGGUUACCAUACGUUUUCAAAUACCGACACGCGCUUCGAGCCAAACAAACAGGGUCGCGCGUGUUUUUUUUCCGUAUGGCGCCCAGUUCGGACGGCGAGCGCGCUAGACAACUGGCAAAUACGCUACUCGGCGCCAAAGAUGGAGGGCAUCAUCAUCGGAAGCGCACAUCGGCGUUGACGAGCUUGCGUCGUCAGAUACGAUGUUGCGCCUUAUUAGCUACGACAAAGACACCCGCGACCAAAUUUUAGUCAAAAGUCAACGAGUCAACGAUAGAUAUGGAGUCUGGUCUAUUGUUCGCAAAUAAAAUAACGCACGGGGAUGUCGAAAUCAUAUCCGUAUGGGAUUUGGUCUGGUGUUUCGCCUGGUGGUCGUUUCGCGUUUAACGCAUGCGGGAUCGUAACUUUUUCAGAGGUGAAGCGCGCGCGCCGCGGGCGUGCGCCAAAAGGAUUUCUCGUAUCGAGGGCGAUGGAAAGGUGCUUCGGGAGUGGUACCUGAGGCGCUAUAUAUUAUGUACAAAACUCUUUAUCAUAGCCGCGUCAACGGGUUGGAAAGCGCAACGCCGUCAAACCGCCGUUUCAUUUCCCGCGAAAAAUAGGUUUUAGGGCCAAAAGAAAUUCAAUAGGGGAGCAAGACCUUGCAAGACUUUGCGCCUAUCCUCGCGGGCCGGCGUCGGCCCAGGCGCGCAAGGCGAGUUUUCUUUCGAAAUAACACUUACUUGACAACAAAUUUUGCACUCGACUCUUACCAGCUCACGCGAAGCGCAUAUUGGCCAUGAAAUCAAACUCUUAACGCGUGUGGGCGUCUGUGCACCUCCUUGUCACUCCCAAACUCCAAUUGCGCCUUGCUCGAUUUUCGAUCUCAUCAACAUCUCACCAACAGCGGAGGUUUAAAGGAGGAAGCAAUUCAUCAUCUGCCAACCAGAUGACUGUGUUUCGCCACAUGUUUGUUUCUCCUUCGAACAAAGGUAACGCCCACGCGCAACUUCUUCGGCGUAAACGAAAUGAAUCAACUUCUGAAAAAUAGAAUGAGGUCAUCAGCAAAAAGAGGCACCGCCGGAUCCGGUGUUUUCCUAGAGUUUGGGAGGAGGACCAGCCGUUGUUGGUCGCGAAAGCGAAAUAACUGCAACGGUGGAGAAUAAUUUCAGUAUGUCAUCGCCUCGCGCGCGUUUGUUUGUGAAGAAGUGGGACAAUUCAAGGACUUGGCGCAGACUAUUCGAGCAAAAGUACGCCACGUAUCUUUACAAAAGAAUGGGACGGCGACUACUGCUGAAUUACAUGGUUCGCUAGAGUCAAGUGCGCGCUAGAGCUGAAACGGUGCCCGUCGCACUCCGCCCCUUUAAAAAUCUUGUUUCCAGGACAAGAGCCGGGACAACCUCUCGUUGCUCGCGAGAGGCUCAAAAAUGCAGAACAUGAUUUCCACGUCACAACGUUCUCCUAAUUCUUCGAGCGAUCGUAGGUGUACGAGACAAUGAGGACGACGAUGGAAAAUACGGUGAAAAACGCUUGGGUUCCGACAAGAGUGGAGGGCUGGUUUUCGUAGAUGGCGGUUGUGACGUGAGCACACUUGUCAGCGGUCUGAGUAUACGUCUUGGAAUCGCCCCACUGCUUGUAAGUGCCACCGGCCUGGCUAAGAACCUGGACAGAGUAGGUCGACGGGGCGGUGUUCAUGGGUAGCUCGAUGAGUUCGCUGCCUGAGCCUGAGGAAUCAUAAACGAUGCCCU
rnacentral:lncRNA from 1 species